rnacentral:rRNA from 1 species
GCACGAAAACUUUACAAUGCAGGCAACUGUGAUAAGGGAACCCCGAGUGCCCGUAUGGACGGGCUGUUCAGGUGCUUAAAAACCACCUGGAGAAAGGGCCGGGCAAGACCGGUGCCAGCCGCCGCGGUAAUACCGGCGGCUCGAGUGGUGGCCACUAUUACUGGGCUUAAAGCGUCCGUAGCUUGGUCGUUAAGCCUCUGGGGAAAUCUUCCGGCUCAACCGGAAGGCGUCUCAGGGGAACUGGCGACCUAGGGAUCGGGAGAGGUGAGAGGUACUCUGGGGGUAGGAGUGAAAUCCUGUAAUCCUCAGGGGACCACCUGUGGCGAAGGCGUCUCACUAGAACGACUCCGACAGUGAGGGACGAAAGCUGGGGGAGCAAACCGGGAUUAGAGACCCGAGUAG